rnacentral:rRNA from 1 species
AUUGAACGCUGGCGGCAGGCCUAACACAUGCAAGUCGAACGAGUGGCAGACGGGUGAGUACUGUCUGGGAAACUGCCUGAUGGAGGGGGAUAACUACUGGAAACGGUAGCUAAUCCCGCAUACCAUCGGAUGUGCCCAGAUGGGAUUAGCUAGUAGGUGGGGUAACGGCUCACCUAGGCGACGCUCCCUAGCUGGUCUGAGAGGAUGACCAGCCACCUGUGAACUGUGACACGGUCCAGACUCCUACGGGAGGAAGCAGUGGGGAAUAUUGCACAAUGGGCGAAAGCUGGAUGCAGCAAUGCCGCGUGUAUGAAGAAGGCUUUCGGGUUGUAAAGUACUUUCAGCGGGGAGGCGUUACCCGCAUAAGAAGCACCGGCUAACUCCGUGCCAGCAGCCGCGGUAAUAC